rnacentral:lncRNA from 1 species
UUUAAUCUGGGGCUAAUUUUUUCUUCACGUCUGUAGCAGUACCGUCGGAGUCUUCUGUCUGAUGCCUUGUAAAUUACUGGAAUUCGCUGGAACCAUUCCUGGUUCUAAGUGAAGCACAGAGAUUACCCCGUCAUUCCCCGGGGGGAUUCUUUGCCCAGUCUGUUAGCGUCUUAUUCGCGUGUGCUGAGCAGUACUCAGCUCAAGACGCAAGGGGGCGCGCCUGCGCAUCCCCAGGCCGCUCUGUCUGACACCUUCCCUCUGGGUACUCUGUCUCCCCCUCUGGCUGCCUUGGCCCUUCUCACUCGCAGCUCCAUUCAGGGAGACCACUGUCUCCACUGGGGUCUCCCCUGCUUGCGCGGUGGUCUGGGAACUCGGUCCCUGCAGUACGUUGGGACAUUAUUGUCUCGUCUCAUUUUUCCCCUUUCUGAACGAUUAGUCUGUGCUGCCUGAUGCCAGUGUCUGCGUAUCAUUGUUUCGUCUAUUUUUUCUGGUGUUUUAGUGUUUGAAGCAGGAGCUACCUCUCGUCCUUGUUGUUCCUGGAAGCAGUUGUCUUAGAAAGUGUUUCUUAAAACUUGGGGUAAAACAUACAUAACAUAAAAUUUACCAUUUUAGGGAGUUCCCAUUGUGGCUCAGUGGUUAACGAACCCAACUAGUAUCCAUGAGGAUGUGGGUUUGAUCCUUGUCCUCCCUCAGUGUUGCCAUGAGCUGUGGUGUAGGGUCUGGUCAAGGAUCUGGUGUUGCCAUGAGCUGUGGUGUAGGUUGCAGAUGCUAGGGGUCUAAUUAGAACUGCAGCCACUGGCCUACGCCACAGCCAUAGCAACGCCAGAUCCGAGCCACAUCUGUGACCUACACCACAGCUCACAGCAACGCCAGAUCCUUAACCCGCUGAGCAAGGCUAGGGAUCGAACCCAUGUCCUCAUGGAAACUAGUCAGGUUCAUUACCACUGAGUCACGACAGGAACUCCAUGUGUAGGUUUCGAUGGCCUUUGCCCUGAGGCUGGCAGAGUCCUACUAACAAGCACUACCUUUUUCGCAAUUAAAUGACCAGGAUGUUAAGGUCUCUCUGGUCUGGCUGGUCAGAACCUCAGGUGCUUCCAGCAUUUUGAGAUGUCCAAACUCUUCACUCAUCUCACAGCCCCUCGGGAGCAGGUCUCUGCCAGGUCCAGUCCUGCUCACCCACAGCGGAGUACUGGGCUGAGCUGGGGGGAGCUUCUCUGCCCAUUUCUGGAGCCCCUUCUCAUGGGGGAGUCCUCCUCUCUUUACCCUGCCCCAUGGGUGCCAGCCACCUCAGCAUGCCAGUCAGUCUCUCUUAUUUGUCCCCAUUGAGAACCUCCCUGCUUGUGGGACCACUCCCCUAAGCCCCAGGAGGGAAAGUGUCCCCAGGCAGAAAGCUAUGGCGAGUCUGCACUCACCUCACGUCUCACUUUCCUUGAGGACUGUAGUCCUGUGAUGGUUCUUAUCCAAGGUCUGGAAGCAGUUGCUUCAUAUUUGUCCAGUUUUAUAUUAUUUCAUUGUGAAGGAAGAAGUCCCAUACCUGUUCUUCCAUUCUGACCAGACCUGAAAGUCCUGGGGGGCAUUUCAAAAGCAGGAUGUCUAGGAGUUCCCGUCGUGGCUCAGUGGUUAACGAAUCUGACUAGGAACCAUGAGGUUGCGGGUUCGAUCCCUGGCCUCGCUCAGUGGGUUAAGGAUCUGGCCUUGCCGUGAGCUGUGGUGUAGGUUGCAGACGCGGCUCGGAUCCUACAUUGCUGUGGCUGUGGCUGUGGCUGGCACCUCCAGCUCUGAUUAGACCCCUAGCCUGGGACCCUCCAUAUGCCACAGGAGCAGCCCAAGAAAUGGCAAAAAGCCAAAAAAAACAACAACAACAAAAAAAAAACACAACAACAAAAAAAAAACCCACAAAAGCGGGAUGUCUAACAGGCCAUUUGAAAAUACAAAUCACCCCUUCCCAACCCUCCCACUUCUCCGUGACAGCAUCUAUCGCGGUUAAUCUGUGUGAGCUGAGGUCCUGCGCGUGGACGAGGUUGGGGAGGAGUUUCAGGACUCGGUGAGCUGCAGAGCAGAGCAGCAGACACCUGGAGCAAGAGUUGAUCUAAGGACAGAAACCCCGUGGAACUUGCUAGUAUGUUUAGGGGAAAUUCGGAUUUUGACAGGGC